AUUGAACGCUGGCGGCAGGCCUAACACAUGCAAGUCGAGCGAGCGGCUGACGGGUGAGUAAUGUAUGGGGACUGCCCGAUAGAGGGGGAUAACUACUGGACACGGUAGCUAAUACCGCAUACUAUCGGAUAACCCAUAUGGGAUUAGCUAGUAGGUGAGGUAAUGGCUCACCUAGGCGACGAUCCCUAGCGGGUCUGAGAGGAUGAUCAGCAAAACGGGGACUGAGACACGGCCCGGACUCCGACGGAGGCAGCAGUGGGGAAUUUUGGAGAAUGGAGGAAUCCCUGAUCCAGCCGUGCGGCGUGUGUGAUUGAGGCCUUCGGGUUGUAAAAUACUUUUGGCAGAGAAGCGGUGUCUGCAAAAUAAGCACCGGCUAACUACGUGCCAGCAGCCGCGGUAAUAC
rnacentral:rRNA from 1 species